UACGUAGGGGGCAAGCGUUGUCCGGAAUUAUUGGGCGUAAAGCGCGUGUAGGCGGUCCGCUAAGUCGGCUGUGAAAGUCCAGGGCUCAACCCUGGGAUGCCGGUCGAUACUGGCGGACUAGAGUCCGGAAGAGGCGAGUGGAAUUCCCGGUGUAGCGGUGAAAUGCGCAGAUAUCGGGAGGAACACCAAUGGCGAAGGCAGCUCGCUGGGACGGACCUGACGCUGAGACGGCGAAGGCGUGGGGAGCGAACGGG
rnacentral:rRNA from 1 species